rnacentral:rRNA from 1 species
CCAGACUCCUACGGGAGGCAGCAGUAGGGAAUUUUCGGCAAUGGGGGGAACCCUGACCGAGCAACGCCGCGUGAAGGAAGAAGGAAUUCGUUCUGUAAACUUCUGUUAUAAAGGAAGAAAGACGGAUGGAGGAAAUGACAUCCGAGUGACGGUACUUUAUGAGAAAGCCACGGCUAACUACGUGCCAGCAGCCGCGGUAAUACGUAGGUGGCAAGCGUUAUCCGGAAUUAUUGGGCGUAAAGAGGGAGCAGGCGGCAGCAAAGGUCUGUGGUGAAAGACUGAAGCUUAACUUCAGUAAGCCAUAGAAACCGGGCAGCUAGAGUGCAGGAGAGGAUCGUGGAAUUCCAUGUGUAGCGGUGAAAUGCGUAGAUAUAUGGAGGAACACCAGUGGCGAAGGCGACGAUCUGGCCUGCAACUGACGCUCAGUCCCGAAAGCGUGGGGAGCAAAUAGGAUUAGAUACCCCUGUA